AUUUCUGUGUAUGGACUGUCUUGACUAAUGCCAUCAACCUCAGGGAUCUUUCUUGUGCAUACUAUGUUGUUACCUUAUAGGAGUUCCAACCGAAUGUCUAAGCCACCUGUGGAGGACACUGACAUGAGAAAACAGUAAUGCACUUCCACAUCAAAAAUUUCUGGAAGGCUCCAAUGGACUAGCAUCUUGAAUUAUGAUAUGGUCUGCUGGCAAUUCAUGUCAUCCUUGGGCAUCUUUGGAAAACAACCCCUUUCUCUGCUAGUCAUCUCCCUGGAACACAGUCAAUUUGACCAGUUCAACAGCAUCUUCCCACUCAUCACACUCACUGCAAGGCAUGAGACUGGGGGAAGUUUCUGGAUCCUCAGUGGUCUCCAUGAAGUAGACCUCCAGGUCAUUAUGACGUGUGCAGCAAUACUUGAAUAGCUCUCUAGACCAGACCACUUUAUAGCCUCUGGUGGAUCUUCAUUGUUACCAAACUUCAAAGAAGGACGAUGACUAAUGGAACUCAGAGGCCAGGCCACCACACUGCCUGCAGUUCCUGGACCUUGAAGGGUUGAGUUUCCUCAUGGAGUCUUGUUUGUUGGUUGUACUUUGUUUUGGUGACAAUAGAAUUCUAACUGAGAACUUUGCCUACUAAUGCUCUGCCAGUUGAGCCAUGACCCCCUUGCCCAUCUUGCUUUAACAUUUGAGAUAGGGUCUUGCAAUUUUGCCUGAGUGGACAAUUCCUCAAUUUUCCCCUACUGUGCAGCUGGGCAUGAAAGAGUGCCUCACCAUACCUGGCCAUAGCUCCUGGUGUCUUCAGCUUGUACUUGAAGUUUAAAUACCAUACUCUUCUCUCCUUGCCCAUUAGAUAGUCUCAUUAUGGUAGGAAUAAGAGAAGCAUAAAAUGAGCAUUAUCUACUAUUUUCACUUUGCAAAAUGUGAAGGCUGAAUUAUAAUCAAGCAUGUUCAUUGUUUUGGUUGUAGAAGAUGGUGUCAUAGCCCUACCAUUUAUUUUGUUUAACAUCUCAAAAUUGAAAAGGAUAACAAAAAUAGGGCUGUUAAACACAAAUAAUUUGGCCUCAACCUAUCUCAAUACUUUCCUAAUAUUCUGUGUCUCAAAACUGUCACCUUCCUUAGUGACAUGUAAGCUACCCUGAUGAACAAACAACCUGUAAUCUAGAUAAAUGGUGUAGUAUAUCCUUGUACUUGAGCAACUUAAUUUCAGGCAAUCACAGCAGUGAAGCUUCAGCCAAUCCCACACAGCCAACUGAUCAGAUCAUGCCCAUCAAGAGAAAUGCUGACUACAUGCAUCAGGUUCUUUCUGAAUGGAACUUCCUUUUCUUUGGCUAGGAAGUACAGGAACAAGGCCCUGGCAAUGGCUCCCAUGAAGGAGCCCUCUUUGAACCCCAGUCAAAUACAAACAGCCAUUUUUGUGGGCUCA
rnacentral:lncRNA from 1 species